rnacentral:rRNA from 1 species
UGGGGAAUAUUGCACAAUGGGCGCAAGCCUGAUGCAGCAACGCCGCGUGAACGAUGAAGGUCUUCGGAUCGUAAAGUUCUGUUGCCGGGGAAGAUAAUGACGGUACUCUGUGAGGAAGCCCCGGCUAACUACGUGCCAGCAGCCGCGGUAAUACGUAGGGGGCUAGCGUUAUCCGGAUUUACUGGGCGUAAAGGGUGCGUAGGUGGUCUUUCAAGUCGGUGGUUAAAGGCUACGGCUCAACCGUAGUUAGCCUCCGAAACUGGAAGACUUGAGUGCAGGAGAGGAAAGUGGAAUUCCCAGUGUAGCGGUGAAAUGCGUAGAUAUUGGGAGGAACACCAGUGGCGAAGGCGGCUUUCUGGGCUGCAACUGACACUGAGGCACGAAAGCGUGGGUAGCAAACAGG